GACGAACGCUGGCGGCGUGCCUAAUACAUGCAAGUCGACGUUAGUGGCGAACGGGUGCGUAACACGUGGGUAACCUGCCCAUCAGAAGGGGAUAAAACGUGGAAACAGGUGCAAAUACAGUCUACGGUUGGAUGGCCCCGCGGUGCAUUAGCGAGUUGGUGAGGUAAAGGCUCACCAAGUACACGAUGCAUAGACGACCUUGUAGGGUGUGCGGCCACAUGAGGCCUGAGACACGGCCCCAACUCCUACGGUAGGCAGCAGUAGGGAAUCUUCGGCAAUGGACGAAAGCCUGACCGAGCAACGCCGCGUGAGUGACGAAGGUUUUCGGAUCGUAAAACUCUGUUGUUCGAGAAGCGGUAUCUAACCAGAAAGCCACGGCUAACUACGUGCCAGCAGCCGCGGUAAUAC
rnacentral:rRNA from 1 species